rnacentral:sRNA from 1 species
UCUUUGUGGGCCGGGUGGGUUUCCUACACUGGUUUCGUCUGCCUGGUUCAUCUGUGUGCAAUGGCUCCGGACUCGGAUCCUUUCCCUGAAGGGCCGCUCUUAAAGCUGCUACCCUUAGACGCUAGAGACCGGGGCACCCAGCGCUGCCGCCUGGGCCCGGCCGCCCUCCACGCCCUGGGCGCGCGCUUGGGCUCGGCAGUGAAGAUCUCGCUACCCGACGGGGGCUCCUGCCUCUGCACUGCCUGGCCUCGGCGGGACGGAGCUGACGGCUUUGUGCAGCUGGACCCGCUGUGCGCGAGCCCCGGGGCGGCGGUCGGGGCGUCGAGAUCCCAGAGGAGUCUCAGCCUGAAUCGCCUCCUCCUAGUGCCCUGUCAGCCCCUGCGGCGCGUCGCCGUGUGGCCGGUGUUGCGAGAGCAGGCAGGCGCGCCCGGUGCUCGGAAUACAGCCCCGGUGCUGGAGGCGGCGCAGGAGCUGCUGAGAAACCGACCGAUCUCCCUGGGCCACGUGGUGGUCGCUCCGCCGGGCGCUCCUGGCCCAGUGGCUGCCUUGCAUAUCGUCGGCGGGACGCCCAGUCCCGAUCCCGCUGGGUUGGUCACCCCUCGUACUCGCGUCAGCCUUGGCGGGGAGCCUCCGUCGGAAGCCCAGCCGCAGCCCGAGGUUCCCCUGGGAGGUCUUUCGGAGGCGGCCGACUCGCUGCGGGAGCUCCUCCGCCUCCCGCUCCGCUACCCCCGCGCCCUGGCCGCGCUGGGCUUAGCGGUGCCUCGCGGGGUGCUCCUGGCGGGGCCCCCCGGAGUGGGCAAGACCCAGCUGGUGCGGGCCGUGGCGCGCGAGGCGGGCGCGGAGCUGCUGGCAGUCAGCGCCCCGGCGCUGCAAGGUUCCCGGCCUGGGGAGACCGAGGAGAACGUGCGGCAGGUCUUCCAGCGCGCCCAGGAGCUGGCCAGCCGCGGACCCAGCCUCCUCUUCCUGGACGAGGUGGACUCCUUGUGUCCCCGGCGGGGCGGUCGAGCACCCGAGAGCCGCGUAGUGGCCCAGGUGUUGACGCUGCUGGACGGCGCCAGUGGGGACCGCGAGGUCGUGGUUGUGGGAGCCACUAACCGGCCGGACGCUCUAGACCCAGCGCUGCGUAGACCCGGGAGAUUUGACCGAGAGGUGCUCAUUGGGACUCCCACACUUAAACAAAGAAAGGAAAUUCUGCAAGCAAUUACCUCAAAGAUGCCCGUCUCCAGUCAUGUUGAUUUGGGCCUUCUUGCAGAAAUGACAGUUGGCUAUGUUGGUGCCGACCUGACAGCACUCUGUAGGGAGGCUGCCAUGCAUGCCCUCCUUCACAGUGAGAAGAACCAGGACAAUCCUGUGAUUGAUGAAACAGACUUCCUUGAAGCUUUUAAAAAUAUUCAGCCCUCAUCAUUUCGAAGCGUCAUUGGAUUGAUGGAUAUCAAGCCUGUUGACUGGGAGCAGAUUGGUGGCCUUGAAGAUGUAAAACUGAAGUUAAAACAGAGCAUUGAGUGGCCUCUGAAAUUCCCUUGGGAAUUUGUUAGAAUGGGCCUGACACAACCAAAGGGAGUUCUCCUCUAUGGGCCCCCUGGAUGUGCUAAAACCACUCUGGUGAGGGCCCUGGCCACAAGCUGUCACUGCUCUUUCGUUUCAGUGAGUGGAGCUGAUCUGUUUUCACCGUUUGUUGGAGAUUCAGAAAAAGUCUUGUCUCAGAUAUUUCAACAAGCAAGAGCAAGCACUCCAGCAAUUGUGUUUUUGGAUGAAAUUGAUUCAAUCUUGGGAGCUCGCUCAGCCAGCAAGACCGGAUGUGAUGUUCAAGAACGAGUUCUUUCUGUUCUCCUGAAUGAAUUAGAUGGUGUUGGACUUAAGACAAUAGAGAGAAGAGGAAAUAAAUCAAGUCAACAGGGUAAAUACAAGGAGCUGAAAAAAUGAAGAGGUAUUUAUUAGCCAGAAUGCACCUAAAAUCCAGGCCAACAUUAAAUAUAAUGCAUAUAUGCUGUAGCUUUGCCUAUGCUGAAUUCAUCUCAUAGAA